rnacentral:rRNA from 1 species
AUACGUAGGUGACAAGCGUUAUCCGGAUUUACUGGGCGUAAAGGGCGUGUAGGCGGUUUAGCAAGUCAGAAGUGAAAUUCCCGGGCUUAACUUGGGCGCUGCUUCUGAAACUGCUUUACUUGAGUGCUGGAGAGGACAGUGGAAUUCCUAGUGUAGCGGUAAAAUGCGCAGAUAUUAGGAGGAACACCGGUGGCGAAGGCGGCUAUCUGGACAGUAACUGACGCUGAGGCGCGAAAGCACGGGGAGCAAACAGGAUUAGAUACCCUGGUAGUCCGUGCCGUAAACGAUGAAUACUAGGUGUAGGGGGUAUCGACUCCCUCUGUGCCGCAGUUAACACAUUAAGUAUUCCACCUGGGGAGUACGGCCGCAAGGUUGAAACUCAAAUGAAUUGACGGGG